UACGUAGGGUGCGAGCGUUGUCCGGAAUUAUUGGGCGUAAAGGGCUCGUAGGCGGUCUGUUGCGUCAGGAGUGAAAACUCAGGGCUCAACCCUGAGCCUGCUUCCGAUACGGGCAGACUAGAGGUAUGCAGGGGAGAACGGAAUUCCUGGUGUAGCGGUGAAAUGCGCAGAUAUCAGGAGGAACACCGGUGGCGAAGGCGGCUUUCUGGACAGAUACCGACGCUGAGGCACGAAAGCUAGGGGAGCAAACAGG
rnacentral:rRNA from 1 species